ensembl:lncRNA
AGUGUGGAGCACACAUUUAGUCAGAAUAGAUGUGUAAUUAAUAUUUUAAAGCUUUACACAAUGCACAUGAAAAUGUAACAGAUCCAUCUUCAUCUGUUCUCUUAGUGAGCGUUUUUCAAGCAUGGGAUACAAAGAUGAAUAAAAACAGACAGAGUCAUGUACCCUUGGAGUUUGCAUUUAGUGUGGGUACGAGACAGCAGACAGAAGCAGCAGGUGGAUGGUGGAGCGAUUCUGAGCACAGAAGACAACCUCCAGGAGGAGAGGAACUGCCGGGAGCAUGUUAGUUGUUUAAAUGUCUGCUCACAUUUCACUGAACUAAGAGCCUGUGAGACAAUUGAUUGUCACACAAUACUAAAUACACAGUUCAAAAUCCACCAUAUGCUGAAUGAAAUUCAAUAUGCAACACCUUAGCCUCAAAUCCGCCAGUGGAACCAGGUGGGAAAACUCAUGAAAGAAGAAUGACGGGUUUGAAAUCUUAGUGUCCAAAAAAGACACGAUUCUUGAAGUGUAUGAAUGGAGACCCAUAGUAGACUGUCUGAGGAUGGACGUGCUGGUCUGGACUUUCUUCUACUCAAAUGUGUCAUCCAUGAAACCUCACGGCUCCAAAACACAGGAUGCCUUGCUCUUCCUUCACUUUCUCAGUCAGUACAACAAGCAAAUAAGCUAACCAUUCAGGAGAUGACAACGCAAAUACAUUUAUGUGAGAGUAGUCAUGACACUUUGCUUUAAUGGACAAGGGUUUUGGGGACAGUAAAAAUGCAUGUGCAUGAUGAAGCAUGGACCGAUGAUGCGGUACGGUGUUUGGAAUUUGUUUUUAUAUUUAGGUAUUAGGAUGAGGCAUAAAGAAGGGUGGGAGAUUAAAGAAGUUGAGUCCUAUUGAUGACACUUGAGGUUGGGUGAUGGGUGCAGGUCGUUCUUUGACUCAUUCUCUGUAGUUUGUGUAACUUCAAAAUUGUCCACAAUAUAGUUUUUAAAUUCUCUACUCCUGUCUGAUACUGUGGGUAUGUCCUGCUAAGAGACACUCAGAGUUGGCAAAAUGUGUGUUUUCACCAUGAUUUCAAGUUUAAGCCCAUCUAUUCCCAAUAGACAGAAGACAAGUUGGCUUGGAAGCCAUGAAAGGGACAGGAAUGCCCGCUUUUGAAACUAUAGGCAAGUGAGGGAGCUGAGGAGUUGAGUUUUAUGCAAACAGAAGUGAGGAGUUACUGAAGGGUGUUAGGCAGGGGGUUGAUCCACCUGAGCUGGGUGGGAAGGGUCCCUCUGAAGGCCUCAAGGAGAAAGUGUCUGAGGGGAGCAGAGGUCCUGGUCACAGGUCAUUACUAAGAGGCCCUGUGAGUCUAGACAUGUGGGGACCAUGGGCACAGAUCCAGCAGCGCUGGUUAUGGGGUACAGUGCAGAAGUGAUGGUUAUAGGAUUUAACUGUCCAUCCACUACAUCGGCAAAAACUUUAAAAUCUCCCAUUUAGCUUGCUACCAAACUAAGAUGAGUAAGGAAAUAUAGGUAGGAAAGUUUUCUUUAAGAUAUAAACAAAUUGUAUGAGACCUAAGGCAGAAUCCUGAAAAGAAAUAUAUGACAUAGAUAUGCAGAAGAACACAAAGUUAAGAAAAUACAACUCACUUCAUAGAAUAAAGAAGUACGUUCCAUAUUCACUGGUAAAGGUGAAGCCUAACAAGGCCAUGCUUUUUUCCCAGUCGCUGAAUCAAAUCUAAUCUCUAUCAAGACUUUAAAUGUGUUACAUGACUUUCGGCAUGAUUGCUCAAUUGUCCUCGCUGGAAUAGAUCACUGAUUUUAUCCCUGGAAAACUCCCGUCUACGUUAUUUCCCUAAACAGUCCCUACACGCUCUUCAAACCAGCGUAACUGUCCCCUCAUCUGUGACACCUGACCUGAUGCACAUCUGGGCCACCUGGCACUUUCUAGAAUGAACGCUAAAUAGUUAUAUAUGUACAUACAAGCAUGUCCAAACAGGACUACUUCUGGGACUGAGAAACUGCAGUAAUCAUGCUACAUGUGUCAGAAUGCCCGUAUCUAGGAAUCUAACCAUGGGUGUGUGA